GCAACAGCUCAAAUUUGAAAUCUGGCGCAAGCCCGAGUUGUAAUUUGCAGAGGAUGUUUCGGGUGAAGCCACGGUCCAAGUCCCUUGGAACAGGACGUCAUAGAGGGUGAGAACCCCGUACCUGGCCGUCGGUGCCCCCCGCUGUGAAACUCCUUCGACGAGUCGAGUUGUUUGGGAAUGCAGCUCUAAAUUGGUGGUAAAUUCCAUCCAAAGCUAAAUACCGGCCAGAGACCGAUAGCGCACAAGUAGAGUGAUCGAAAGAUGAAAAGCACUUUGAAAAGAGAGUUAAAAAGUACGUGAAAUUGUUGAAAGGGAAGCGCUUGCGGCCAGACUUGCCCGCGGUUGCUCAGCCCGCCCUUUGGCGGGUGCACUCUUCCGCGGUCAGGCCAGCAUCGGUUUGGGCGGCCGGAUAAAGGCGCCGGGAACGUGGCCUCCCCUCGGGGAGGUGUUAUAGCCCGGCGCGCAAUGCGACCAGCCCGGACCGAGGUUCGCGCUCUGCUAGGAUGCUGGCGUAAUGGCCGUAAGCGGCCCGUCUUGAAACACGGACCAAGGAGUCUAACAUCUAUGCGAGUGUUUGGGUGUCAAACCCGUGCGCGUAAUGAAAGUGAACGGAGGUGGGAACCGCAAGGUGCACCAUCGACCGAUCCUGAUGUCUUCGGAAGGAUUUGAGUAAGAGCAUAGCUGUUGGGACCCGAAAGAUGGUGAACUAUGCGUGAAUAGGGUGAAGCCAGAGGAAACUCUGGUGGAGGCUCGCAGCGGUUCUGACGUGCAAAUCGAUCGUCAA
rnacentral:rRNA from 1 species